rnacentral:rRNA from 1 species
CAAACCCCGCCUGUUUACCAAAAACAUCACCUCUAGCAUUACCAGUAUUAGAGGCACUGCCUGCCCAGUGACAUCAGUUAAACGGCCGCGGUAUCCUGACCGUGCAAAGGUAGCAUAAUCAUUUGUUCCUUAAUUAGGGACUUGUAUGAAUGGCCACACGAGGGUUUAACUGUCUCUUACUUUUUAUCAGUGAAAUUGACCUCCCCGUGAAGAGGCGGGGAUAUAACAAUAAGACGAGAAGACCCUAUGGAGCUUAAAUUUACUUGCCCAACAAACCUAAAGUCAAUCCAACAGGAGCAAUACCAUUUUAACUGGGCACCAAAUUUUGGUUGGGGUGACCUCGGAGCAUAACCUAACCUCCGAGUGUUUUAAACUAAGACUUACAUGUCAAAGUGACAGCACUUAUUGAUCCAAUCUUUAUUGAUCAACGGACCAAGUUACCCUAGGGAUAACAGCGCAAUCCCAUUUAAGAGUUCAUAUCGCCAAUGGGGUUUACGACCUCGAUGUUGGAUCAGGACACCCAAAUGGUGCAGCAGCUAUUAAAGGUUCGUUUGUUCAACGAUUAAAGUC